UUUAUUAUUUAUGACUGCAGGUUCUUUAUAAAUACUAGGAUUUAUACAUGCUUAUGCGCAUCAAUAAUGGGUAGGAUAUUACCCUGAGAUUGUUAAUAUUUCCAAUUCUAGGCUUGGAUUGCAGGAUUGCUUGUAAGUGCAUGAUGGAUUUUCCUGCAUAUAGAAUAGUUUGAAUUGUUGUUAUUUUUGUCCAUAGAAACUGAAGGGGGAUAAGCCCAGACUCAGAAUAUUGUGGGGUGGUGCAAUACAAGAUAUGCACAAGAUUGUUUUGAUGUCUUUUAUAUACAGUGUGGAAGGGAAAGAUGAAAAAGGCAAGGAUAUCUGAAAAAUGAAAUACAAAUAAAUAUCUAGUUCUGAAGUGUGAUCCUUUGUGGGAACCAAUUGUAAUUGAAGAAACCAUCAAGAUAAGAUUCGUAACAGCUAGCCUAGCCACUAAUGGUUGCUUUUUCUUAAUUUCCAUGGCAGGGAUCAAUUCCCACUUUCUUGUC